rnacentral:ncRNA from 1 species
CUGAUAGUUUGAUCCUAGCUAACAUUUUCACUCUUUAUUUUUAAAAUACAUGCAAUGAUCCGACUGUUACCUAUAGUUUAUUAAAAAAAAACUAUCCAUCCAACUCGCAGUAUAAAAUAUUAAACAAUAGCUAAAAGGCUGAUUUAAAUAAAUAAAAAAGAUUUGGUCAAACAUUGUGCCAGCAACCGCGGUUACACUCUGCAAUCAAGUGAAAACACCUUAGUAACCUAGUUAACCCUACAAAAUUAAUCAACGAUAUAAUUCUAUCAUAUUGAAAAGUAAAAUUUAUUUAUAUGAUUUUAAAUAAAUUUUAGAUUAAAAGCUGUGAAACUAAAAACCCUAAAACAAAAACCAGGAUUAGAUACCCUGUUAUUUUUAGAAGGAAUCACCCUAUACUUAAAUACUACAAGCUAUACUCUUCAAAUUUUAAGGAUUUGGCGGUACUUUAGUCCAGUUAGAGGAACCUGUUAUAUAAACGAUACACCACGCAAUAUCUUACCUAUUUUAAAAAUUUGUAUACCGUCAUUAUCAGAUAACUCCCAUAGGAAUAGUUAUUUCAAUAAACUAACACUUAAUAUAUUAGAUCAAGGUGCAGUCCAUAGAUAGGUAUAAAUGGGUUACAAUAAAACUUAUUUACACGGAUUUCAAAUUUAAAUACUUCAAUGAAGGAGGAUUUAAUAGUAAAAUUAAUUUAACAAGUUAAUUUGAUAAUGGAUCUAAAUUAAGUACAUAUCGCCCGUCGCUUUCAUUCAUUAAAUGAAAUAAGUCGUAACAUAGUAAGUGUACUGGAAAGUGCACUUAG